ACACACACAGUGACUCCUACACACAGAUAGCGGAUCGGGAGCAGGAGGAGGUGGAAUGUCGUGCAGAUCUGGAGCUGGAGGAGGUGGAAUGGCGUGCGGAUCGGGAGUAGGAGGAGGUGGAAUAUCGUGCAGAUCCAGUCUGACGGUAUCACCAUCAACAGCCCAUCAAUCUGCUGCCGAUUGGUGCAGCUGAUUGGUGUGGUGAUGCAAUUGGACGUCACGACCGCCUGCGCCUGCCCCUUUAUAAGUGGCUGGCUGACGUCAUAGCACUGCUACUCUCGUUUUUGGAGGAUCGCGUCCGUUGCCACGGCCACUGCUGCACUUCGCCGCCGCUAGGGCCAGCCUCGUGGAACCACCGUCAUUUUUCCACUCCCUGGGGUGAGAGACCAGGAGUGAGCGCCUGGCUGCCGAGGCCUACAUUUUAAGGCCUUGUUUUUUUGUAGUGGCUUCUGGACAGUUUUUUUUCACACUGUUUUUUUUUUUCUAUUUAAACUUUUUGUAUUAAUAAAUACACAUUAAUGUUA